UACGUAGGGGGCGAGCGUUGUCCGAAGUUACUGGGCGUAAAGGGCGCGUAGGCGGCCUUCUAAGUCGGACGUGAAAUCCCUCGGCUUAACCGAGGAACUGCGUCCGAUACUGAAAGGCUUGAAUCCGGGAGAGGGAUGUGGAAUUCCAGGUGUAGCGGUGAAAUGCGUAGAUAUCUGGAGGAAUACCGGUGGCGAAGGCGGCAUCCUGGACCGAGAUUGACGCUGAUGAGCGAAAGCUAGGGGAGCAAACAGG
rnacentral:rRNA from 1 species